UGGGGAAUAUUGGACAAUGGGCGAAAGCCUGAUCCAGCCAUGCCGCGUGUGUGAAGAAGGUCUUCGGAUUGUAAAGCACUUUAAGUUGGGAGGAAGGGCAGUAAGCGAAUACCUUGCUGUUUUGACGUUACCGACAGAAUAAGCACCGGCUAACUCUGUGCCAGCAGCCGCGGUAAUACAGAGGGUGCAAGCGUUAAUCGGAAUUACUGGGCGUAAAGCGCGCGUAGGUGGUUCGUUAAGUUGGAUGUGAAAGCCCCGGGCUCAACCUGGGAACUGCAUCCAAAACUGGCGAGCUAGAGUAGGGCAGAGGGUGGUGGAAUUUCCUGUGUAGCGGUGAAAUGCGUAGAUAUAGGAAGGAACACCAGUGGCGAAGGCGACCACCUGGGCUCAUACUGACACUGAGGUGCGAAAGCGUGGGGAGCAAACAGG
rnacentral:rRNA from 6 species